UUAUGGCUCAGGAUGAACGCUAGCUACAGGCUUAACACAUGCAAGUCGAGGGGCAGCAUGACGAUAGCUUGCUAUUGUUGAUGGCGACCGGCGCACGGGUGAGUAACGCGUAUCCAACCUUCCCCUUAGUAGGGCAUAGCCCGGCGAAAGUCGGAUUAAUACCCUAUGUUAUUCGUCGAGGACAUCUGAAAUGAAUCAAAGGUUUACCGCUAAGGGAUGGGGAUGCGUCUGAUUAGGUAGUAGGCGGGGUAACGGCCCACCUAGCCGACGAUCAGUAGGGGUUCUGAGAGGAAGGUCCCCCACAUUGGAACUGAGACACGGUCCAAACUCCUACGGGAGGCAGCAGUGAGGAAUAUUGGUCAAUGGGCGCGAGCCUGAACCAGCCAAGUAGCGUGCAAGGAUGACGGCCCUAUGGGUUGUAAACUGCUUUUAUGCGGGGAUAAAGUGCGGCACGUGUGCCGUUUUGUAGGUACCGCAUGAAUAAGGACCGGCUAAUUCCGUGCCAGCAGCGGC
rnacentral:rRNA from 1 species